UGAACGCUGGCUACAGGCUUAACACAUGCAAGUCGAGGGGAAACGACGGGGAAGCUUGCUUCCCCGGGCGUCGACCGGCGCACGGGUGAGUAACGCGUAUCCAACCUGCCUCUGACUGAGGGAUAACCCGUCGAAAGUCGGCCUAAUACCUCAUGGUAUCGUCUGCGGGCAUCCAACGACGAUUAAAGAUUUCAUCGGUCAGGGAUGGGGAUGCGUCUGAUUAGCUUGUUGGCGGGGUAACGGCCCACCAAGGCUACGAUCAGUAGGGGUUCUGAGAGGAAGGUCCCCCACAUUGGAACUGAGACACGGUCCAAACUCCUACGGGAGGCAGCAGUGAGGAAUAUGGGUCAAUGGGCGAGAGCCUGAACCAGCCAAGUAGCGUGCAGGAAGACGGCCCUAUGGGUUGUAAACUGCUUUUAUGCGGGGAUAAAGUGAGGGACGUGUCCCUCAUUGCAGGUACCGCAUGAAUAAGGACCGGCUAAUUCCGUG
rnacentral:rRNA from 1 species